rnacentral:rRNA from 1 species
AACGUAGGAGACAAACGUUAUCCGGAGUUACUGGGCGUAAAGGGUGCGCAGGCGGCCGUGUGUGUGAGGCGUGAAAGCCCGGGGCUUAACCCCGGAAUUGCACCUCAAACUACAUGGCUAGAGCAUUGGAGAGGGUAGCGGAAUUCACGGUGUAGCAGUGAAAUGCGUAGAUAUCGUGAGGAACACCAGAGGCGAAGGCGGCUACCUGGACAAUUGCUGACGCUCAGGCACGAAAGCGUGGGGAGCAAAAGGG